ensembl:lncRNA
UAUUUGUAAAAAGCACUCUGUACAGUCCCUGGUACACAGUUUAUUGUUAUUCAGUCAUUUCAGUCAUGUCUGACUCUUCGUGACUCCAUUUGGGGUUUUCUUGGCAGAGAUACUAGAGUGGUUUGCCAUUUCCUUCUCCACCUCAUUUUACAGAUGAGGAAAUUGAGGCAAACAGGGUGAAGUGACCUGCCCAAAGUCACACAGUUAGGAAGGGUAUGAGGCCAGAUUUAAGUCUUCCUGACUCCAGGCCCCGCACUCUAUCCACUUCACCAUCUAGUUGCCUCCUGGCACACAGUAGGCACCAUAUAAAUGCUUAUUCUCUUCCUCCCCAUCUGAUCCUCCAGGGAUAGAAAAAACCCUUCUCAGUCCAGAUUGAGUUCCUGCAACUGUGAGCUUCUGAAUUGGGCUUCUGAACUGUGAGGAAAAAAAAAAGAGGAGAAAAUGGAGGAGGUGACCAAGAAGGAAGAAGGAAAAAAAGCAACAGAAAGGCCAAUGGACUCAGCCCUUGGGAGGCAGCCUGCCCCGCUCUCCCACCAAGGGGAAACCAAAGCCACUAUCCCCCAGAAGGGAGCUUUCCAGGAGCCAAAAGUGUGGGGCCCUGGAGAGGCAGAAGCAGGGGCCUAUUGCCUGCAGGAUGAGGAGGCUCUGAGCAUUCCUGGGUCAGCAGAGGAGGAUGAGGAGAGUGAGGCUGUCCAGGCCAUGGCCCUAGGGCUGGAAUUACAGUGCAGGCUUCAGCUCCACCUGGACCAGCUGGAGGCCAAGGCCAAGGCAGCAGCAGCAGCCAGGGACAGCUCAGAACCUGCCCUGGGGGCCUGUGGAAGUCUCACAGCCCCAGACUGCCCUCAGCCCUUGGCCUGCCAGGGCAGUCAUGGGGAGCCCCAUAUCAGGGCCCAAGAGUUGGGGGCUGUCCUGGGGCAAGUCCCUGAAGAGGUCAAGCUGGGUGAGAAGGGAGGCUCAGAGUCAUUUGGGGAGCCCCUUUGGGAAACAGGAUGGUAUCCUAGAGAGAAGGGGGAAAUUGCUGCUGAAGCUUGGAGAGGCCUGCCAACCUCUAAUCCUACUAGUGUCUGCCAAAGAAGGCAGCUCCACCCAAAUCUGGAGCUAAAAGGGAAGGUCCCUGAAGGAGCCAGCACCCUGCAGCUAACACAUGAGAACUGCAGCCUCAGGAACACCAGUAGCCAGAAGCCUGGAGAGGCCCUGACCCCACUUGGGGAGCAGCUGGAGAGGCAAGACCCCAGCUCCAGGACCUUUGGCAAGAGGACAGUGGCCUUCAAAGAAAGAACCUCUACAUGGAACUGAGGGCCUGGUCCCCACAAGUCCCCAAACAGCCCCCAGUUGACCUGCUAGGUCAGAGCCUUAUGGCUACUGCUGGAAUCAGGCCCUUCUGGUGGUUCACCAGGCAGCAGAGCUAAGCCUAUGAUGGACAUCUUCCCACUGUUGGAACCUGUGAGCUUCCUGAGGGAAGGGCCCCUGCUUGUAGGCCCCCGUUCACCUAUUUUUGAGUCCUUUGUCCCUGGCAGCUCCUUGGGAUCUUGGGCUGGGGAAGGGUCAGCCCUCUGCCACCAUGGGAGGAUCUAAAGCUGUGGGGGUACAGUAAGGCUGGGAUCUGCCACCCACUCACCCCAGCCCUUUAGGACCUUCCCCUGCCUUUUCAGUGUCUGGAGAGAGCUCAGAGAUCUCCUUCAGGCACAUCCUCCUCCCUGUCCCCCAUGGCCAUCUCCCCAGUUCUUUUCUCUCCCUUUCCUUUUUGCUCCCUCCUACAAGCCAUCCAGGAGACCAGAACCUUAGGAGCCAGGCCUGGCAUCCAUUGAGGGUGGCAACUUUUGAGAGAGUUGUCUUUGUAUCUCCCCAGUGAUAGAGACUUAAUAAAAAGCUUGUUGGUCAAUUGAAGUUGUGACUC